rnacentral:siRNA from 1 species
UACUAAUUUGAUGCCUAAAGCC